UACGUGACUUCAGAGGAAUGUUUCGAGCAUUGUUCCUUGGCCUUGGGCACUGACUCUGGAUUCGAAGAGGAUCUGCAGCAACAUGCAUUGACAUCCGGAGUGACAGAUGAAAAUGAAACGACUGCAUCAAUCAAAGCUCAGGUUGGGGAAGGAAAGAGUUACAGGACAAGAUGAGGAGACAAAGAAAAAGAAAGGGAGAAGGUGAUGAAGAGCAGGUCCAUCUGGUUGCCCAGAGACUUUCGAGUUUGGAUCAUCUGGUUUGCAUCCAGUUCUGCAUAUGCCUGCUUGUCUGCCAGCCAAAGUACCUGCAACCCUGUCUUUUCAUUAAUGUUCCUUUAUUGCAUUAGCCUCUGAGAUUCUGUAUUUGAGUCCAUCCCCUUAUGUUCCUGACUUGGAUCCAGCACACCAACUCCAUUCACCUGGGAGGACUUUGACAUGUUUAAGAACACGUUUAUUGGUGCAUUCGCUCAGGGCGCCAUACAAGCUAGAACUGCCUCAGAAGCAAGGGCCACAUAAACAUUGAUCCCUGAAUCUGCCCAUCACCACAGACACUCAGCUGCAACUCUGCAGCCAAACGCCAUGAUUGACACCCAGCUGGACCCUGAGUUGGCCACCCGUGCUAACAUCCUGUCUGUUCAUGUAUCAGGGGUCCCACCUAGCAACUUGCCUGCUCCUGAGCCUGUCCUAGCCGACUUCUCAUGUGUUCCUGAGACAGCUGAUGCCAAAGCUGCUCCCUAUCUCCAGUUCGCGGUCUGACUGACGUUCCCGGUUCCUAGUCAGUGAUCCAGCCAACAGCUGCUCCUGAUCUCUCAUCAUUGGCCUACUUCUGGCAUCCAGUCUGUGGCCUGGACAACAUCUGCCCCUGAUUCACAGUCACCAGCCCAUCCGCUUUCGUCCCUGUACCAGUUCCUUAGCGUUCCUGUGCAUGUUCCUAGUAUUCCUGAUGUUUCUGCGUUCCUGUUCCAACUUACUGGAUUACCUGUUUUUUGGAUUCCUCUUUCUGCUUGUCAGUUUAUCUACUUGUAAGCCAGUUUUGUUCAUUUAUUAAAGUACCUUCA